GACUGUCAAGUGUUUUUGUCGAUGUCUUAGUGCAUUGACUUAAUGCUCACAAAGGGCUGGUGAGGUGGGUGUUGCCAUUACCCACCUCUCACACAUCUGACCCCCCAGCCCCCUCCGCGCUCUAGAGACGCACCUCUUACCGGCUUCGGAGGUGACUGUGCCUGUAGGGAAUUCUCAGCAUCUAGGUUUGCUUUGUGAGGGAACAGAAGGAGGCUUCUGGUUAAAAAGGAGAAUUGGGUGGGAAGGAGCGUGUGGAGGUCGGUGGAGAAGGGAGAAGAUCCACGCCCCUGAGGGGAAUAUCUGGGUGGAUACUGCUGACCAGAUAAGGAGCCACAGCAGCACUUCAAGGACUUCCACAUGGUUUCUGGCAGCAGCACAGACCACAGAUAUCUGUAAGGCAACACAGCUCUCGGCAGUAGAAUAGUCCACCAACACCAUCAUGGUCCCUGGUUUUGGAGAUGGUCUGAAAAUGGAGCACUGACUGUUCUAGAAUUCCCUAUGUAAACCUGACCUUGAACGCACAGA